GCGAAGCACCUUUCCAGGUCUUGACAUUCUCUGACAAUCCUAGAGAUGGGGCGUCCCCUUCGGGGGCCGAGUGCCCGGUGGUGCAUGGUUGUUGUCAGCUCGUGUUGUGAGAUGUUGGGUUAAGUCCCGCAACGAGCGCAACCCUUGAUUUUAGUUGCCAGCAUUCAGUUGGGCACUCUAAGGUGACUGCCGGUGACAAACCGGAGGAAGGUGGGGAUGACGUCAAAUCAUCAUGCCCCUUAUGACCUGGGCUACACACGUGCUACAAUGGACAGAACAAAGGGCAGCGAAACCGCGAGGUUAAGCCAAUCCCACAAAUCUGUUCUCAGUUCGGAUCGCAGUUUGCAACUUGACUGCGUGAAGCCGGAAUCGCUAGUAAUCGCGGAUCAGCAUGCCGCGGUGAAUACGUUCCCGGGCCUUGUACACACCGCCCGUCACACCACGAGAGUUUGUAACACCCGAAGUCGGUGAGGUAACCUUUAUGGAGCCAGCCGCCGAAGGUGGGACAGAUGAUUUGGGUGA
rnacentral:rRNA from 1 species